rnacentral:rRNA from 1 species
ACGCCGCGUGCGGGAUGAAGGCCUUCGGGUUGUAAACCGCUUUCAGCAGGGAAGAAGCGAAAGUGACGGUACCUGCAGAAGAAGCACCGGCUAACUAUGUGCCAGCAGCCGCGGUAAUACAUAGGGUGCAAGCGUUGUCCGGAAUUAUUGGGCGUAAAGAGCUCGUAGGUGGUUCGUCACGUCGGAUGUGAAACUCUGGGGCUUAACCCCAGACCUGCAUUCGAUACGGGCGAGCUUGAGUAUGGUAGGGGAGUCUGGAAUUCCUGGUGUAGCGGUGGAAUGCGCAGAUAUCAGGAGGAACACCAAUGGCGAAGGCAGGACUCUGGGCCAUUACUGACACUGAGGAGCGAAAGCGUGGGGAGCGAACAGGAUUAGAUACCCUGGUAGUCCACGCCGUAAACGGUGGGCACUAGUUGUGGGGACCUUCCACGGUCUCUGCGACGCAGCUAACGCAUUAAGUGCCCCGCCUGGGGAGUACGAUCGCAAGAUUAAAACUCAAAGGAAUUGACGGGGCCCCGCACAAGCAGCGGAGCAUGCGGCUUAAUUCGACGCAACGCGAAGAACCUUACCAAGGCUUGACAUAUACAGGAAUAUGGCAGAGAUGUCAUAGCCGCAAGGUCUGUAUACAGGUGGUGCAUGGUUGUCGUCAGCUCGUGUCGUGAGAUGUUGGGUUAAGUCCCGCAACGAGCGCAACCCUCGUUCUGUGUUGCCAGCAUUUAGUUGGGGACUCACAGGAGACUGCCGGGGUUAACUCGGAGGAAGGUGGGGAUGACGUCAAAUCAUCAUGCCCCUUAUGUCUUGGGCUGCACGCAUGCUACAAUGGCUGGUACAAACGGCUGCAAUACCGCAAGGUGGAGCGAAUCCGAGAAAGCCAGUCUCAGUUCGGAUUGGGGUCUGCAACUCGACCCCAUGAAGUCGGAGUUGCUAGUAAUCGUAGAUCAGCAACGCUACGGUGAAUACGUUCCCGGGGCUUGUACACACCGCCCGUCACGUCACGAAAGUCGGUAACACCCGAAGUCAGUGGCCCAACCGCAAGGAGGGAGCUGCCGAAGGUGGGAUCGGUGAUUGGGACGAAGUCGUAACAAGGUAGCCGUACCGGAAGGUGCGGCUG